AUGGAGUCAAAGGCACUCCUCCUAUGGAUGCUGCUGCUCAGGGUUCAAGGUUCCACUGGGGACAUUGUGCUGACCCAGUCUCCAGGUUUGCUCCCUGUGUCUCUGGGACAAAAGGCCACCAUCUCCUGCAAGUCUAGUGAGAGUGUCAAUUACUAUGGAAUAAAUUGUAUGCUCUGGUAUCAACAGAAACCAGGACAGCCUCCCAAACUCCUUAUCUAUGGUGCAUCCAACCUAGAAUCUGGGGUCCCAACCAGGUUUAGUGGCAGUGGGUCUGGAACAGAUUUCACCCUCACCAUCAAUCCUGUGGAAGCUGAUGAUGCUGCAACCUAUUACUGUCAGCAGAGUAAGGAGAAUCCUCGGACGUUCGGAGCCGGGACCAAGCUGGAAAUCAAACGGGCUGAUGCUAAGCCAACUGUCUCCAUCUUCCCACCAUCCAAAGAACAGUUACAGACUGGAAGCGCCUCAAUCGUGUGCUUCCUGAACAACUUCUACCCCAAAGACAUCAGUGUCAAGUGGAAAGCAGAUGGCAGUGAGAAACAAGGCUCUCUCAACAGUUUGACUGAGCAGGACAGCAAAGACAACACCUACAGCAUGAGCAGCACCCUGACGUUGUCCAAAUCAGAGUAUGAUAGCCAUAGCGUGUAUACCUGCGAGGCUGUUCAUAAGACGUCUUCUUCACCCAUCGUCUCGAGCUUCAACAAGAACCAGUGUUAGAGCCCGAGGUCCUGACGCACCACCACCUGCUCCCGAGGGCCAUCCUCAAUCUUCCCUCCUAAGGUCUCAGAGCUGUCUCCACAGCUGACCUUACCGAUGUUGCAGUACUCCAAACCCUCUCCCCACCCCAUCCCCCUCCCUUUCCCUGGCUUUUAUCAUGCUGAUAUUUGGGGAAGAUAUUGAAUAAAGUGAAUCUUUGCACUUGA